ACUCGCAGCAGCAAAAGGUGUCACCGGCUCGUGUUAAUUGUCCCAGAGCGAUGGAAACAAGCUUGAUUGCACCAGACUACAAUGAAGGAGCAAAGAAGGGGCACUAGAACCUGGCAAGAAAGGUGCCACCAGUGCAGCCCAUGCCAGCCACAUGGUACCUCUGUUGCAAAUGCAGGUGGUGUAGAGGAACUUCCAUUAGUCCCUGACACUCCAGCAGAGCUUGUGAACCUGCUGCAAUGCGUAUUUCUCACAGCAUUCUGGAGGCUGAAGUUUCCCUAUAUUUUCUUGGUUUUUUCUUGCUAAUAGAUUAAUUUUCUCCUAACAUGCUUUAUUUUAAAAGCAACCAAACUAAUAAAGCUGGUUUAUAUA